UGUCACAUAGCACAUAGUUGUUAUAUUUAAGGUUACCUUGUUGUUAUUAAUAUUAGCAAUAUAAAAUUGCAGAUCUUAAACCUCUUUAAAUUAAAUAUUACUGUAAAAAAUUAUUUGAUCUUAGUUACUCUCUUUUAAUUAGUUUGUUGUUGGCUAUUUACAAAAAUAGAAAUACAUCCAUCACUAAAUCUCCACCAUGCAUGGAAACGAGGGGUGCUGUGGGGGAGAUAUCAAGUUUUAUUGGCAGCCUGUCUAAUUUAUUUGAUGACUACCCACAUUUUCGGACAGGGUAUAUGCUGGAGCAGCAAGAUCCAAAAUAGGACAGCAUGUGCUAGUGUGGCCUCAUGUCACAGGGUGCAAAACAGAUGACAGAUGCAUUUUGACUACUUAUAAGGCGGACCAUGUGGCUGUUGACUGAUUUAAUCACUCAUUUGAGGCUUCUAUUUUAACCACAGCUACAUAUUCUGUGGUAGAUGAAGUGAUCAGUGAAGCCAGUGAUUAGUAAAUGUCUUGCUGAUACAUUCCAGUUUUAAUGCAGUCUCAAAGGGGGCACAGUGAACGGCGUCCAGCAUAAAACCAAUGUCACAUCUACCAUGCGAGUCAAGAACAUGAUCUCCAUAAAAGGCAGAGCAGAAGACACGGGGGUGGAAGCUGAAAAAGGAAGACAGCUGUGUGGCUUUCAGGGAGGAGUUCAGAAAAGGUCUGGGUGGCCGGAAGGUGCUUCCAGAUGACUGGAAAACUACAACUAAUGCUGUCAGGGAGACAGGUAGGAGAAUAUUUGGUAUGUCUUCUUGAAGGAAAGUUGAUAAGAAGACUCGGUGGUGGAAUUAGGAAGUACAGGAAUGUGUGUGGAGAAAUAGAUCAACCAAGAAGAAGUGGGACACUGUACUGAAAAGAGUGCCCAGGAGAUGCAGCAUAAAGUGAAGGUAGAGGUAGCAAAGGCUUUACUGAGGGCACACAGUAACUUUUAUUAUUGGUUGGACAGCAAGCGGCAGAGGAGGAUUUAUACAGGUUGGUGAGCCAGAGAGACAGAGAUGGGAAGGAUGUUAAGCAGGUCAUACAAUAAAGUUAUGGGAAAGAGUAGGGGAAGCUAGAUUAAGAUCAGAAGUGGGCAUCUGUGAGCAGCAGUGUGUUUAAUGCCAAGAAAAAGUACUACAGAUGCAGUAUUUGCUUUGAGGUUGUUGAUGGAGACACACAGAGAAGGUCAGGGGAGCUGCAUUGCAUUUUUGUAGAUCUAAACAAAACAUAUGCCAGUCUGCAGAGAGAGGAGCUGUGGUAUUGCAUGGGGAGAUUUGAAAUAGCUGAGAAGUAUGUUACAGUGGUCUAGGGCAUGUGUUGAGGUAUUCUGUAGGCGUAACAGAGGAGUUCAAAGUGCAAGUGGGACUGCAUCAAGGAUUGGCUCUGAGCCCCUUCUUGUAUGCUGUGGUGAUGAACAGGUUGACAGAUGAGGUUAGACAGGAAUCCCAUUGACCUGUGAUGGUUGCAGAUGACAUUGUUAUCUGUAGUGAGAGCAGGGAACAGGUGGAGGAAAACCUAGAGAGAUGAAUGUUUGCCAUGGAAGGGGGAGGAAUGAAGGUUAGCCGUACCAAAACAAAAUAUGUGUGUGAAUAAGAGGGACCCAGGUGGAGCUGUGAGAUUACAUGGAUCAGAGAUAAAGAAGGUGGAAGAUAGGUCUUAGUAAUAUUGAGUAUGGGGAAAAGGUGAAGAAAUAUGUCAUAGUAGGUUGGAAUGAGUUGAGAAAAGUCUCAGGUGUGUCUUGUGAUAAGAGUAUCAGCUAGAAUGAAUUGAAAUGUGUACAAGAUGGUGACGAGACCAGCAAUGUUGUCUGGUUUAGAGACGGUGGCACUGAGGAAGAGACUGGAGACAGAGCUGGAAGCAGCAGUGAUGAAUAUGUUCAGGUUCUGUUUAGGAGAGAUGAGGAUGGAUAAGAUUAGGGGGGAGUAAAUUAGAGGGGGAUACGAUGUUAAAUAUUUUGGAGAUAAAGCCAGAGAGGCCAGACUGAAAUGGUUUGGGCACAAACAGAGGAAAGAUAGUGAUCAUCAGUAGAAGGGUGCUGAGGCUGGAACUGCCAUGCAGGAGGCCUAGAAGAAGACCAAAGAGGAGAUUUAUGGGUGGGGUGAAAAAAGGAUGUCAAGUUAACUGAUGUGGGUGAAGAAGAUGCAGAAGACAAGGUUAAAUGGCGAAAGAUGGCUCAUUGUGCCGACCCCUAAAAGAGAAAAGCCGAAAAGAGAUGAAGAUUCUCGCUCCAGUUUUAUCUUCUGGACUGUCACCUCCAAACAACUCUGCAUAUUUCUUCAUUGGGUUUAUUUUCCCGCUAUGACCAUAAUUUGUGAGCUUGCCAGUUCAGAAAAGUAAUAUUGAUGUGAAAGUAUAACUUGAGUAUGAACUUGAUUUUUGAAUGUAAAUAUUAAAAUAUUGCAAAAGAAAAUGUUUCACUUGUCUUUUUAUUCAAAACACAUUUGUAACUUUUCUUGUAUGUUUUAUUUUAACUAACUAAAUAAAGAAAUAUAAAGUUGGCUCUCUGCAUUUUACUUUGUGGUGUGGCGUAUAUAUAAUAAUGAGCAUUUUCUUAAGUCUUUUUGCCUCUGUAUUUGCACCAUUAGUCAGAAGUUUAAUUAUAAGUAAUCUGUUGUUAGUUUUUUUGCACCUAUAUUAAAAAUGACCCUUGUCAUUGUCAGUGAUUAUUGUUUUUAAAGUGAACAUAUUUUCAUCCAAUAUGUGCAAAGAUAUUUUUUACCAACAGCCCUAUUACCUUUUGUAUAAAUAGUUAUUUUUGAUGUGAAUAAGCUAACAUGGUUUUUCUUUUCAUUCUUCAGAAAAAUAUUAAAGGUGGCAGAAGUCCGAUCAAGACCGAUUGUCGUCUAUCUUUUGGGAUAAAGUCAUUCUUGCUUUAGCAAGGAAAAAGGAAACUGGUUUUAAACAAACUAUCUUCUCAGUUGAGUAAAUGCAAUGAGUGGGAAUGAAAUUUGUUUUUAAAUAUAAGUGAAUAAUUGUCAUUCUAAAGUUAUCUUACAAGAAAGCAAACAAAACAGAGUAAAUGGUAUUACAUUUUAAACAAAUGUUUUAUUGAAAUAGUACAUUAUAUGAUGAUCAUUUAACAACUAGUUCAUAUUAUAUGAACUGCAUUGAAAUGGUCAAAAA